rnacentral:rRNA from 1 species
UACGAAGGGGACUAGCGUUGUUCGGAAUCACUGGGCGUAAAGGGUGCGUAGGCGGGUCUUUAAGUCAGGGGUGAAAUCCUGGAGCUCAACUCCAGAACUGCCUUUGAUACUGAAGAUCUUGAGUUCGGGAGAGGUGAGUGGAACUGCGAGUGUAGAGGUGAAAUUCGUAGAUAUCUGGAGGAACACCGGUGGCGAAGGCGGCAUCCUGGACCAACACUGACGCUGAGUGAGCGAAAGCGUGGGUAGCGAACGGG